rnacentral:rRNA from 1 species
GAUGAACGCUGGCGGCGUGCCUAACACAUGCAAGUCGAGCGAAGCGAUUUGGCGGAAGUUUUCGGAUGGAAGCUAAAUUGACUGAGCGGCGGACGGGUGAGUAACGCGUGGGUAACCUGCCUCAUACAGGGGGAUAACAGUUGGAAAUGACUGCUAAUACCGCAUAAGCGCACAGCAUCGCAUGAUGCAGUGCGAAAAACUCCGGUGGUAUGAGAUGGACCCGCGUCUGAUUAGCUAGUUGGUGAGGUAACGGCUCACCAAGGCCGACGAUCAGUAGCCGACCCGAGAGGGUGAUCGGCCACAUUGGGACUGAGACACGGCCCAA